CAUCCUGAAACCAAUAAUUAAUUGCUAUGCCAUUUCAGCCUCUUUAAGCUUCUCCAACAUUUGAGUUGUGUUUGGAUCAAGAAUUCAGCAAAGAAGAAUAGAAGAAAAAAUUUGGUGCUUAGAUCUAACAGCUCAUUAUUUAAUUUUUUUUCCUCCACGACGGAAAGAAAAAAAAAUUAAAAUUAAGGAGAAAAGUUAAAACAUUCAAUAAUUCCGAUUUAAUCUUUUUUUUUUGUGAUUUUUUUUUCUUCACAAAUUCCUGCUAAAUCAUUGAUCCAAACACAACAAAGAGAAGUGAAUCACUUCUCGCACAUGCACCGUCGUAAAUUCGUCAAGAGAUCGGUGGUUGUCAUAUAAAACUCAUCAUCCAUCUGCAAUAAAGGAUAUAUAUUCAUAUAUCCUUAGGGUUUUAAUCUAAUUCUAGAAAAAAAUAACAAAUAACAAAUAAAAGUAGUAUAUAUAUAUAUAAAAUCACCUGAGCAGAAAUGG
rnacentral:lncRNA from 1 species